GAUGAACGCUAGCGGUAGGCCUAACACAUGCAAGCCGAGCGGUAUUUGUUCUUCGGAACAGAGAGAGCGGCGCACGGGUGCGGAACACGUGUGCAACCUGCCUUUAUCUGGGGGAUAGCCUUUCGAAAGGAAGAUUAAUACCCCAUAAUAUAUUGAGUGGCAUCACUUGAUAUUGAAAACUCCGGUGGAUAGAGAUGGGCACGCGCAAGAUUAGAUAGUUGGUGAGGUAACGGCUCACCAAGUCAAUGAUCUUUAGGGGGCCUGAGAGGGUGAUCCCCCACACUGGUACUGAGACACGGACCAGAAUCCUACGGGAGGCAGCAGUGAGGAAUAUUGGACAAUGGGUUAGCGCCUGAUCCAGCCAUCCCGCGUGAAGGACGACGGCCCUAUGGGUUGUAAACUUCUUUUGUAUAGGGAUAAACCUACUCUCGUGAGAGUAGCUGAAGGUACUAUACGAAUAAGCACCGGCUAACUCCGUG
rnacentral:rRNA from 1 species